rnacentral:lncRNA from 1 species
AACCUUCCAACACUAUAUAAAACUGGUAUGUGGACGCGCGCGCGUGCACACACACGUGUGUGCACACACAUCUCUGGGCAAUGGAUAUGCAAAUUAGAAUGUCUAUACAUGCAACUGAACCACAGGUUUUACUUUAACAGAUAAGUGCUAAAAUAAAUGCACUUCAAACGUUUCACUUUGCACUACGAAUGUGAACUUGAGUAACUAGUGCUAAUUUAGAACUGCAGCGCUAGGACGGGUGCUCUGAUUCUCCUCAUUCAAGCACCGCACUGCCAUUUGUCAAAAGAGCAGAAAAAGGAAUUUUUCCUUUGUUGAAAAAGACUGUUUUGGUUUCGUCAAAAAGCCAUCGCUGAAUACCGUUCUGUAUUAUAUUUGUGACUCACUCUCAAAUGAGAUGUCACCACACCCCGACUCUUCUUUCAUACGUGAUAAAUAAAAUAGAACAGAAAUUUAGUUUCAAAGUUUCUUACCAUAUACAGGGAACAAAUCUUUAAAAAUUAAUACUUUGCCUUCAACAUUUUGACCUCUUGUUUUCCCUUUUU